rnacentral:lncRNA from 1 species
ACAGCACUUAUAACUUUAAAAAACAAAAUUUUAACUUUUUGGAUUAUUAUAUUAGAAUAAAAGAAUAUUGGAAUUAUUUAUCCUUCAAAUAAGGGGGGAAGUCCUUUCAGUUUGACAAAUAGUAGCAUAAGUGUCCAGUUUCCGUUAUUCUUUUUUAUUUUACAAAAAAUACAACACCUCUCUAUCUAUGAUGAUAUAAAGAAUAAAUAAUUUCAUACCUACAAUGAUCAUAUAUCUUGAAAAAUUUCCAUACAAGCAAGCAUCAUUAUAAUUUGGUAGUCAAGACAGUCAUAUCAUUUGAUAAUACUGUAUUAUCUUGUGUUUUUUGGUAAGUAUAUUGUGUUAUCUUGUUUGGUAUGACAUGCUGGAGCUAAUAUAUUGUCUAUUUAAAAUGUUUCUUUGAUAGUUAAUAUAAACAAAAUGACAUCUAGAAUGAUUUUAAUGUAUUAUUAGACGAUUGCAUCUAGAAAUUACCCAGAAUUUAAAUUCAAUCUAGAAUCAUUUUGUUUAUUUUUAUUUUCUUUUUAGCUCUGUACAUUACUCUUAUUUUUGCAUUUUCUUUUUGUAUUGUUGUGUUAAUUUGGUCUUUUUCUUUUCUUUUUUUUUUUGAUAAAAUUGUGUUUUUGUUCUUUUUUUUUUUGUAUUUGACUUGUAUUUGCAGCUUCUUUUAUUUUAUAUUUCAUUUUCAUUUCUAUGUAAUUAUUUUGUACUUCUAGCGUUCUUUUCUUUCCAGAUUUUACUUUUUUUUAUUACUUUUUAACUUUUCUGUUUCCCUUUUAAGCUAGUAGUUUUUUAAAAAUUAUUUUCCAUCUGACAUGCUUUGCACAUGGAUAUAUAUAGUCUGCUUCAAAACGGCCCACAAAUAUAACUAUUUGAUUGUCCUGCAACAGCUCGAAGCGUAGGGGAUGAGUAAAGAAAAAAAGGAACUCUCCUCUCCCAUCAACCCCUCACCAGAAAAUUAUUGUAAGAGAUCCCAAACACGAUGUUCUAUCAACACUUCAUAAACAAGAUCUCAUGUGCUAGUGAAGAAUCAAGGAGAAUAGAAGAACUAUAUAUAUAUAUAUAUAUAUGUGUGUGUGUGUGUGUGUA